rnacentral:ncRNA from 1 species
UUAUCAUCAGCUUACCCCUAACUUACACAUGCAAGUAUCAGCACACCCGUGAGAACGCCCUUAAACCUUACUAGGACAAGGAGCCGGUAUCAGGCACAGAUUAUCUAGCCCAUGACACUUAGCUUUGCCACUCCCUCAAGGGUAUUCAGCAGUGAUUAACAUUGUUCAUAAGCGCCAGCUUGACUCAGUUAAGGGGUAUAGAGCCGGCCAAUACGGUGCCAGCCGCCGCGGCUACACCGCUAGGCUCAAGUUGAUUUUAUGCGGCGUUAAGCGUGUUUAAAGUGCUAAAAAGAUUAGAAUUAAAAUAUAGCCAAGCUGUGACACGCUUGUUAGUAAGAAAAACAGAUACGAAAGUUAUUCUAACCAACCCACUUGAACCCACGACAGCUAAGACACAAACUGGGAUUAGGUACCCCACUAUGCCUAGCCGUAAAAUAUUUAUUUACACCUUUAACCGCCCGGGAAUUACGAGCCCAAGCUUAAAACCCAAAGGACUUGACGGUGUCCCACCCACCUAGAGGAGCCUGUUCUAUAAUCGAUUCUCCCCGAUAUACCUCACCGCUUCUAGCUUUUCAGCCUGUAUACCUCCGUCGUAAGCUUACCCUAUGAACGCUUUUUAGUGAGCUAAAAGAUCUUUACAUAAAUACGUCAGGUCAAGGUGCAGCCUACGAAGCGGCAAGAAAUGGGCUACAAUUUCUACAAUAGAACACAACGAAAGACUACAUGCAACUUAGUCAUGAAGGCGGAUUUAGUAGUAAAAAGAAAAUAGAGAGUUCUUUUUAACCAGGCGCUGGGACGCGUACACACCGCCCGUCACCCUCUUCAAACGCUUAAAACCAGUUUAUAACAAAUUUCUGCACCACAGAAGAGGUAAGUCGUAACAUGGUAAGCGUACUGGAAAGUGCGCUUGGAAUAACAAA